UACGAAGGGGGCUAGCGUUGUUCGGAUUUACUGGGCGUAAAGCGCGUGUAGGCGGGCCGUUAAGUUGGGGGUGAAAUCCCGGAGCUCAACUCCGGAACUGCCUCCAAAACUGGCGGCCUGGAGCAGAGGAGAGGCGAGCGGAAUUCCGGGUGUAGAGGUGAAAUUCGUAGAUAUUCGGAGGAACACCAGUGGCGAAGGCGGCUCGCUGGACUCUUGCUGACGCUGAGACGCGAAAGCGUGGGGAGCAAACAGG
rnacentral:rRNA from 1 species